rnacentral:tRNA from 1 species
GUCCAAUUAACUCAGUGGUAGAGUUUUAAUUACUUGUUAAUUAGGUCGCAGGUUCGACUCCUGCAUUGGACACCA